GGGGGUGAACUGGCAUCGACAGAGGAAUUAAACUGUUAUGGCAGCCGGACGGAGUUGGUCGGAGGCUCCGUAAAAAUUCGACCAGCAACAAACGCCAAUUCUCAAUUGGCAAUGGCUGCUUAAGUCAGCCACAUCAACCCGGUGAUGCUGACUAACCGGGAUUGGUGCAACCAGUCAGAGUAGUCGGGAAAAGGUUGUCCCGUGUUUUCCCGAUGAAAAAACAACGGGGCUGGCUUAAAGCAUAGCCAGUUUCGGGGCAGUGCUUUAAGGACUCCUCUUCCGGAACUAUUCCGGUAGAGACCAGACAGUUGUUCUUCUGGACGCGGGUUCGAUUCCCGCCACCUCCACCA
rnacentral:tmRNA from 1 species